UGAGUAGAGGCGCGUGGUUCUUCGUGUCUAAGAGAGGGGGAUUCCUCGCUUCGGACUGGUGGUCGACCCCGGCUUGCGGGGUGACGCGGGGGUCUCCGCUGUCACUGGCUCCAGCCUCAGCAGCAGGGCCCCGGACAGGGGAGGCGGAGGGGGCUUGGGCCGAACUCAGGCUCCGACGCCGGGGCGGGGCUGCGGCAGGGUUUCCUCAGAAAACGAGAACUUUCCAGCCCUCGGCGAUUAGAAGCGGGCAGGCAGCGGUUGGCCCAUUUCCUCCUGGUCGGUGAGAGCACUCAGAGCGCGCUCAGUUUGGGGGAUCCAGGUAACGGCUGAGAGGAGGUCUGCUUUUUGAGAACCCUCCCAUUUUCUGAGGAAUUCACACAUAGCAGUGCCUUUAUGUUGUUGGCUGGAGGGCAGCCUGCUCCUGGUGAAGUGGCUCCCUCCCGUCAUCGGCACACCGAUGGAAGAUGGAAGAUGGAAGAGCGCCUGCCGUGGUGAGUUCACGGGAAGAUCUGCGUGCGGGAUGAAUGCGUGCUGGUUUCUUUUCUGCCUGGUUCCGUGUACCCGAAGUGUAAUUGUUGGGGGCUUGGAACUUUCCGGGUUUCUUUGGUUUCAUUUACUCAACCAUGUAACUUCUGAAUGCUGACCUGCUUAAGACCCUGUUUUGUAUGGAUAUAAAUAAAAGGGGUCCGUCCCC